rnacentral:rRNA from 1 species
GGCUCAGAACGAACGCUGGCGGCAGGCUUAACACAUGCAAGUCGAGCGCGUAGCAAUACGAGCGGCAGACGGGUGAGUAACGCGUGGGAAUCUACCCUUGACUACGGAAUAACGCAGGGAAACUUGUGCUAAUACCGUAUGUGUCCUUCGGGAGAAAGAUUUAUCGGUCAAGGAUGAGCCCGCGUUGGAUUAGCUAGUUGGUGGGGUAAAGGCCUACCAAGGCGACGAUCCAUAGCUGGUCUGAGAGGAUGAUCAGCCACAUUGGGACUGAGACACGGCCCAAACUCCUACGGGAGGCAGCAGUGGGGAAUAUUGGACAAUGGGCGCAAGCCUGAUCCAGCCAUGCCGCGUGAGUGAUGAAGGCCCUAGGGUUGUAAAGCUCUUUCACCGGAGAAGAUAAU